GAGCGCCCACAACCAGGGGAAAAGCGCGUCGUGUGUGUGUGCGUGUGUGUGAAUGUGUGUAUUUUUUUCGGGGGAAAAAAGAAAAGUGCGGUGAUACGAGUUUGUGUGUAAUAUGCGAGUAUCGUGAGAGAACCAGAGCGCGAAGCCGUGAGGAAGCCGUGUGCCUUACUUGAUGACUAUUUUUUCGCCCCCGAAGUUCCUUAAAACGGGGGUUAUGUUUGCACUUACCUUGGUCCGCCAUGGGGAGACACUUCACAACAAAGACAACGUCAUUCAAGGUCAGCUGGAUGUACCGCUGUCGGCCAUCGGCCUCGAGCAGGCCGAGCUGCUGGGCAAGCACCUGCAGCAGCAGAGGUUCACUCACGUCUACAGCAGCGACCUGUCACGUGCCAAACAGACAGCCCAGUCCAUUUUGGAGAAGAAUCAGGUGACCCCAGGGCCCAUUGUUGAAGACCAGCGGCUGCGAGAACGGAAAUUUGGCACGGUGGAAGGCCGUAGUUUUGGCUACCUGAAGGAGGCAUCCAACAAGGCCAAUCAGUCGGUGAGCUCCUACACGCCGCCAGGCGCCGAGACGCUAGACCAGGUACGGAAGCGCGCUGUUGCCUUCUUUGAAGACCUCUGCCAGCUCCUUCGCGGGGCAUACCCGACGGAAGACCAGGAAAACCUGAGCCCCAGCAAACGGAAGCGUGAGGAACAGCCACCAUCACUGCCAUCGUCGCUGAGCAGCUCCCCUUCCUCAUUCCCACCUCCCUACAACUCCCCGUCAUCGGCGACGACGCCACCAUUCGCCGACGAACUCAUCCGCGCAGCGCUCGGCCCGAACGCUGAUGAAUCCGGUGUCGCAGCAGCUGCCGACCCAGCCCCCAACGUCUCCCUCUCCCCACUCGUCGAGCAGUGGCCGUCGUCUGGCGGCAACAAUCCGCCGCGGAAGCUGUCAGCGUGCAGUUCGUCGGACGAAGGAGACGGUGUCGGCGGAGGCGCGCUUUUGGCGAGCGUCCUCGUCGUAAGUCACGGUGCCCUCCUCCGCGAGAUGGUGCGGCACCUUGUUGAAGACCUCGGCUGCUGCGUGCCGGGCGGCCGCAACCAGGCCCUCCGCAUCAGCCCCAACGCAGGGAUAUCCAAGUUCACCGUGUCGGGACCGCGCGACCAUCCGCGCAUCGUCUGCCACCUGAUUCACGACCGGCAGCACCUGAUGGGAGGCAGCGCCUGCCCCAUCGUGAGCGGCGGAGAAGCGAUACCGCGGAGGCGGGAAUUGCAGUUGGCUGGUUUGUCGGCGGAUGCUACGGCGCUGUAGUUGGGAGGUGCACCGGGUUCGGGGAAAACGCUUGGAAAACUGUGAACUGGACAGUCUCGUUUUUUGUGUGCUGAAAGCACCUUAUGUUUUAAUUUUACUUCCUGAUUUUUUGUGAAGUGACAGCGGCCGAAGCAUUGGCAUGACUGCCACGUAUGGCUUUCCACGAGCCUCUUGGGCUAAAAAAGACAUCGAGGCUACCUGCUGACAUAAGAGCGUUUUAAGUGGCCGGCAACAGUGACGGGUCUGUCGUUUUUCGUGUCAAAUGUGUGUCGCUUACCUUUUUUUUGCACAUUGGUGCAAUUUUUUUUUUUUUCCACAUGGAAGCAGUAUUCUUGCACCUCAGGGGAACGGGACUGUCAACAUUGCGAGGACAAGGGCACUUUUCGCUUCGUACGCACUAAAUGCGCUCACACCCUUUGGGACGUUUUUGCUCGUGCAGCGAUGAUUGUCAUCUACACUGCAGAACUUUCCUUGCCUAAGCACCGCACAUUCGUUCCUUCCAGGUCACGGAGCGCACUGUCAGCAUGGCAUGGCAUUUUUGACGGUGAAGUACGCAGUGCCGAGUAUAGAAAGACGCCUCAAAGGGUGCGAUUGUGUUUAGAGUGUAGCAUCAUCUGCAUAUCCAGCAGACACGAGGUGCACUCAAGGGUGUGGAAAAUGUGGCCUGCUUGCCCUCGUUUUCUUCCUUGUUUUUUUGGCGCUAAGAUGGCGCAAUUGCUUCUGUUUUUCCCCUCGUUUCAAUCGUCUCUGUUUGCGUGGAAUCAGGAUUUUGCACCUUGCGUGAGAAUGGGACGUUUCUUUACAGCUGAAGCAGCAGAAAACCGAACAUUCUUUUUUGAAGCAGCCAUUUUUUGAUAGAAUCGUUAUUGAAGGAGUCGUGGUCCGUAAUGAGCAGCUCUCUGUAGUUGGCAGUGGCAGAUCGAAUUCUCCAAGGUUGUUGCACCUUAGUCCAGUCUGACCAAACAGUGUUUCGGAAACGGUUCAUUCGCGGUUCCAUUUCGUGACACCAGGUAUUUCAGAAUGAUAACUCAUUCUUUGUCCCCGGUUCUGUGACCGGUGUCCGUUGUUUUGCAAAGUUUAUCGGUUUUUGACUGGGACUGAAGAGCUAUGGCUUCUUGUUAAUAUCCCUACAUACACCCCCCCCUUUUUUUUAUAACCAUUUUCCUCAUUUUUUUUUCUCGUUGUCCUGGACACUAAGAAAGCUAGCACAAACUAUGUUCCACAUACAGAGCGGCAUUUCAUUGGUGACAAAUUUCUCGCUGUAAUGCACUUUUCAUUGGAGACUUCCCCGUAGUGUACGCAUAACAAGCGUCAUCAUACUUAGGAAAUGAAAACACUGCUUCUAGGACGUUGCCGACAUAACAGAUUGAAUCGCAGUGUUUGUGCACUUGUGGCCUUGAAGAAAACAGAAUUGGGUGUUAAUUUUUCUGUGCAUCUCUCCGAAGCUUUGUGUGGUCGAUACAUUUGGAAUUGAGUAAACCUACCUUUUUAUUUUUGUUUUGGUCGAGGCAGUUGUUCCUGCGCGCCUCCAUUAGAAAACUGAGGCAUACAGAAAUGGAAUGAGCUCACGUGGCCUUGGCCUCAGCUGACUUAAAUAUUUUUGUUUCGUGAUACCAUAUUUUUGUGAAAUAUUUCGCAAAGAGAAGGUUUCAUUAAAACGUUUUUUGGAGCAUUGGUAGCCCAAAGCUUCGAACGAAAUCUCUGUGAUUUUUUUUAAAUGGGAGCACCAUAGUUUAAUUUAUUGGGAUAUCGUAUUCUUCCCCAGACCUGGACAAUUUUUUUUUUUUUCGUGAACCACGAGCCUUUCUUUUCUGAGGAACUUGUAUAAAUUUGCGCAUGCAUGCAUGCACUAAUCGGUGCUGCUUGUCACUAGAUAGAGACAUUCUUUUAACCAAGAAAUCGAAUAAAAUUUUGUAAACGAAGUGUUUCAUGACAGCAGUGCAAAUCGUCAGCACACGCUGGUUGUAAUUACAGUUGGCUUAACCAUAAAUGUUCAGAUAAGAAAUCUCUCUGUUUUAUGUUUUCCUACCAGUGUACGAAAACCAACUGCUUCAGUAAAGCAGCUGUGAAAGAUGGAAUUUGUAACAUCUGCAUGAAAUGUGCUACAAAUGUUAAUUAAGGGUUAUUACCAGCUGCCUAUGAUUAGUCUAUCUGAAUGUAUUCUGCUGUGUUAAUUUGCAGCAAUGUCAAAUAAACUGCCAGAGGUGACAGGGUAAAGUUAGCUUUCACUUGUCCGACCAUCUUGUUCAGUAUAUCGGUGUUUACUUUAAUCUUUCUGCCCCCCCUUUGUCGCAUCUGCUAUCCUAUUCGGAAGAUUGUUAUCUUGAUAAUAAUAUCGUAUCAAAAUAGCAGAUACCUGAAUAUAAUUUUCCGGAUAAGAUGGCAGAUACCUGAAUGCAAUUUUUCAGAAAAGGUAGCAGCACCAUCCUAUCAAAAACUUUGCAUUUAGGUUCAAAAAUGAAAGGAUUACCUUGAAAAAGAUUGAAUAAAGAUCGGGCUCUCUUUUUUGUUGUUGUUGUUGCUAUUCUGUUUGCUGGAAGCACUGCUAAACUCGGCGUGUCUAAAGUUAAACUCGUGUGUAUGUGAACAAUGCUACGUUCAUCAGGGCUGAGGAUAUGUGGUUAUUUCUAGUACUAGAGGGUAUUAGAGAACUCCAGCUUGCAGAAGAAUAUCACAACUGCCUUAGUGCUCAUUUCCGGCUCAUUUUCGAAGUCUCCAAAAGCAUUUAAUACCAGGGCUAUGGUAAUUGAAUUUUUAGUGUUGUUGGGGUCCUCUGCAGUCUCCAUAAUGUCAGUCCUGAUGUUAUUGCAUUUUGACUGAAGUUUCAUUUUUUUUUGCUGUGCGUAUGCAAAUGGAUUUAUGUCUCAGCUACAUGUUCGCAAAGCGUACUAUAAUAAUUGUUUUAUUGUCGAAACAUGGCGAUUAAGUUCCACUUGUGUACCUUGCAAAAUUUUUUCACUGUCGUCCAACCGUGGGUUGCUUGUUCACAUUUGCCAAAACCUAGCCACGCUUUUUAGCUUUUGGUCAGUGCCUCACUGCCAUUUCCUUCCACAGCGUUGAUUUCCAGAUGAGUUGCCAUGGUACUUUUUACAAAAUGUUCAAUCAAUGAAUCAAUGCAGUUGACAAACAAAAAAGAGCACACGUGAGGGUGAACACGAAAGCAAAGAAGAUGCACGUACUACAGCACCAAAACGUCUCUUGCCUCUGUUCCAGUUCUCGCGUUUGCAUUGUUUUUCGUUUGUUCAAGAUGCAUCUACUAACUCUUGUCUCUGCUGUAUGGAAUAUGUUACGUUUCACCAGCAGAACCUCUGUUUCUCGCGUGCGCGUCAACCUUUGGCAUGGUGCCCUUUAUUCCAGCAAAGGCCACUCUUGCUUCUUUCAUUCAGCAUCAUCCUGAUGUAAAUGAAAACACUGAUAGUGCAUUGCCUGCUGUGGUGGCUUAGCGACUAAGGUGCCGAGCUGCUAAGCUCGAGGGCAUGGGCUUGAUUCCCUAGCCGCAACGGCCGUAUUUUGGUAGUGGCGAAACACAAAAACACCCGUGUACUUAGAUUUGGGUGCACGUUAAAGGGACACAAAA
rnacentral:misc_RNA from 1 species